AGACCAAGGAUUUAGGUCAUCUUCAGGAUGAAGAUUUGGUUAUUCAGGAUGAAUAAUCAGCACGGAUAGCAAAGCGGACAGUGAACGGACGCAUUUCGUUACUAGGAUGGUAACGACAAAGGAAUGAACAAGGAUCACCUCUCGGAUGAGGCAGGGAAUAAAACAUCAGGAUGAUGUUAAGGACACCGCUCAGGGAACAAGUGAUGAGAGCUAACUAGGAUAGUUAGUGGACCAGGAUGGGUCAAGGACACCGCUAGGAUGGCGAUGAAAGGAUUAAGCUGAAGGAUUGCAGCGCACUUAUCAAGGAAUAGAUGCAGGGAGCACUCUUAGUAGCUGGAUUGCUGCGAGUAAGACUAUAACCCCGAUGGGCUUUUGCCCUCGGGGUUUUUCUUUG
rnacentral:other from 1 species